UACGAGGGGGGCGAGCGUUGUUCGGAAUUAUUGGGCGUAAAGGGUGCGUAGGCGGCCUGACAAGUCUGAUGUGAAAUCCCUGGGCUCAACCCAGGGCCUGCAUCGGAAACUGUCGGGCUUGAGUAUGGGAGAGGUGAGUGGAAUUUCCGGUGUAGCGGUGAAAUGCGUAGAUAUCGGAAGGAACACCUGUGGCGAAAGCGGCUCACUGGACCAUUACUGACGCUGAGGUGCGAAAGCGUGGGGAGCAAACAGG
rnacentral:rRNA from 1 species